rnacentral:misc_RNA from 1 species
GAUGAAGAACGCAGCGAAAUGCGAUAAGUAAUGUGAAUUGCAGAAUUCAGUGAAUCAUCGAAUCUUUGAACGCACAUUGCGCCCGCCAGUAUUCUGGCGGGCAUGCCUGUUCGAGCGUCAUUACAACCCUCAGGCCCCCGGGCCUGGCGUUGGGGAUCGGCGGAAGCCCCCUGCGGGCACAACGCCGUCCCCCAAAUACAGUGGCGGUCCCGCCGCAGCUUCCAUUGCGUAGUAGCUAACACCUCGCGACUGGAGAGCGGCGCGGCCACGCCGUAAAACACCCAACUUCUGAAUGUUGACCUCGAAUCAGGUAGGAAUACCCGCUGAACUUAAGCAUAUCAAUAAGCGGAGGA